rnacentral:rRNA from 1 species
UACGAAGGGGGCUAGCGUUGCUCGGAAUCACUGGGCGUAAAGGGUGCGUAGGCGGGUUUUUAAGUCAGGGGUGAAAUCCUGGAGCUCAACUCCAGAACUGCCUUUGAUACUGAAGAUCUUGAGUCCGGGAGAGGUGAGUGGAACUGCGAGUGUAGAGGUGAAAUUCGUAGAUAUUCGCAAGAACACCAGUGGCGAAGGCGGCUCACUGGCCCGGUGCUGACGCUGAGGCACGAAAGCGUGGGGAGCAAACAGG